AGAGCAGCGAGUGUGCACUGCCAAACAGAUACGAAUACAUUUCGAUAUUAUUUAUCAGAAAAAAAAUGUCGUUUUUCUAUUUUUUCAUCGUUAUUUUUCUCACAUCGGUCUUAUUACAUUUACGCGGGUGUAUAUCAUAAAGCGUCAUGGAGAUAUCAUAAUGCAUGUAUAAUAUACAUAAUAUACAGGCCUUGUUCGUAACAAUAAUAUCGUCAUUACAUAUACAUUGAACGAUCAGCCGUAUGGAAUAGCUGCAAAUAUUGACGAAAUCAACGCGUUAUUUAAGAACAAAAUUGCUCGGUGCUGUUUCCAUCCCCAACGCCAUACCUGCAGCGUAGGGCGUGCAAUCCGCUCACAUCGUGCAUCUCGAUAUAAAAAGACACCGCUCUGCACCAGCCGUUGCCGGAGAUCGAAUACGCGGAAAGUGUAUCUGAAUUCAACACACAUGUCGACGAAUCCGCGUGUGUGAGUCAUCGUGUGUUGUGCAUCGCGGUCCGGAUCCACGAGCAUCGUCAGAGUAAUCACACCUAUCGCAAUGCUCUAUACAUCAUCUUUGUACGAUUAUACAUGUCAAAUAAAAUACUCGUGUUGAUAGUAAUUGUCAACCGCACUCGUUUUGCAGACAUCGUAAGCUUCGCAACUGAAGAUGAAAUGAAUAAGAGGUGCUAAAACUAUAAGAGAGCCGUUUUCAAUUAACUGCUGGAUUCAAAUUGUUUUAUAUUUUUAAGAAUCAUUUGUAUUAUCAAAACGACACUACGACGAAGAGACGAUUUCCAUUUCCUUCCAAAUCUCUUCUCUUUUUUUCAUGAAUUAAUUAAGAAAAUGACUAGUUGGGUAAAUUAUAAUAUACUAUGUACAUUUAUUUUAAUCAAAAAUAUUAGUAUAGUUAUAAAAUAAUUUAUUUUUAUAUAUUACUAAGCCACAUUUAUUCUUCAUACUACCUACAGCACUACGCAAAAUUUAGUAAUCUAUUAUUUAUUAUUUUAAAUGUACUUAAUAUAGGUAGUUAUAAUAAUUUAUAACCAAUAUAAUUGUGAUUAAAAUUGGUGAACAAUUUUUUUUUUUUUGUAAUCCUUAAUAUUUUGUUAUGGUGCUAAAAUCAAACUUGAGAUGAACUAACAAAUACUCCAAGUUUCAUUAAUGGCUGCAUGUUAUCGCACUUAUAAUGUGUAGUAUAG